GUUGGGAUCUCUACAGAUUAGGGUAAUUUUGGUUGCUAAAUUGGGUACCUACAUGUUUGUUCAGAGCACACUUCAUUGGCUAACCAACCUGUUCGAUUCUGUUUUUUUCUCUCGUUUAAGUUUACAGUCCAUCAACGCUAUCUGGUUUGGCAGUUGUUAUGAUUAUUAUUAUUAUGAUAUUUAUAGAGCGCCGCCAAAUUCCACAGCUCUUUACAAUGGGUGGACGAACAAACAUGUAGUUGUAACCAGACAAGUUGGACACACAGGAACAGAGGGGUUGAGGGUGUGGAGACUGGGUGAGCAUCUAACGGAAGAGGGAAGCGAGUUCCACAGGAACGGUGCAGCCCUCGAGAAAUCUUGAAGGCGAGCAUCAGAGGUGGGAGUACGGACAGAAGAUAGACGUAAGUCUUCAGCAGAUCGUAAGGGCCUAGACGGGACAUACUUGUGUAUAAGGGAGGAUAGAUAGAUAGCAGCAUUAUGUAGA